CCCCGAGAUUCCUUCCCUGGCCCCCCGGGCCAAACCAGAGAAGGCCCCCCCCUCCUUAGAGCCCCCGCCCCCUCCUGCCCCCGGGGCCCGGCCCGAGAGGCCCCCGCCCCCCAGAGCCCUGCCCCGCCCCGCGUCCUGCCGAGAGGCCCCGCCCCCAGGCGCCCCGCCUGUCCUGACCUGGGCAGCGCCCCCUGGUCCCGGCGGGGCGGGCCCCAGGCUGCGCUUUCCCAGCCAGCUGGGCAGCUGUGCUUGUCCAGGCUCUGCGCCACUGGGCCCGGCCGGGGGUGAGUGCAGUCCGGCCCAGGCGGGUUUCGGGAUUCGCCGAUGCCUUUUCUUCUUUUGGAAGCGUCAAGAAAAUCGACAGUCUCCACGGGGAAGAGUCAAGUUCAAGUGCAAGAGCCUUCUUUUAAAAGAAAAAAAUGCUACAGGUAAGUCUGGAGCCCUGUCGCUCGCACGUGUCACCUUCCCUGCAGGUAGCUAUUGUCCUGAGGUUGCUGUGAAAUAUUCCCCUCCCAUGAUUCUUCAUGUUUUCUGCACAGAUCCUCACCUGUAAACCUACCUGGGGUUGUUUUUCAAUGUUUUCAAAUUUUAUAAAUGACAUUCCGUACACUUGUUUAUUCAACAUUAUGGUUUUGUUUUUUUGGUGUUUUUUUUGGUUUUUUUUUGUUGUUGUUGUUGUUGGUUUUUUUUUUUUUUUUUUUUUUUUUUUUUUUUUUUUUUGACAGGCAGAGUUAGACAGUGAGAGAGAGAGAGAGAGAGAGACAGAGAGAAAGGUCUCCCUUUCCAUUGGUUCAUCCCCCAAAUGGCCGCUAUGGCUGGCGCGCUGCACCGAUCUGAAGCCAGGAGCCAGGUGCUUCCUCCUGGUCUCCCAUGCAGGUUUAACAAUCAUCCAUGUCCACAUUUGUGGUUCUGGGACAUUCAUUUCAAAGUCUUUAUAGUAUUUCUUUGUAUGAAUAUGCCAUGAUUUAUCCAUACCUCAACUGAUGGACACUUGAUAUGUUUCAUAUUUCAUUCAAUUACACCUAAAUAGCUGUGGAUAUCUUUGUAUGUAUUUUCUUUUUAAAUUCAGUUAUUUAAUUAAUUUAUGUAUUUUUAUAGAGAGGGAGGGAGGGAGGGAGGGAGGGAGAGAGAGCGAGAGGGAGAAAGAGAGAGAGAGAGAGAGAGAGGUCUUCCAUCCCCUGCUUCACUCCCCAGAUGCCUCUGACAGCUGGGCCUGGGCCAGGCUGGAGCCGGGAGCCAGGAGCCAGGAGCCAGGAGCCAGGAGCUCAAUGCCACUCCUCCACAUGAGGACCACCUAAACCUUUCCCUGCUGCCUCCCAGGGUGUGCACUAGCGGGGAGCUGGAAUUGGGAGCUGGAACUUGAAUCCAGGCACUCCGAUAUAAGGAAUGUGGGCAUCCCAAGCAGGGUCUUAACCACUAUGCCAGACACCGACCCCCUUUGUGUCCCAGAAAUGGAACUGUUGGGCCACCUCUACCACACAUUGGCAAACUGCCUUUUACUGUGGUCCAGCCAUUCAUUGAACAGAACUUCUAAAAGCGUGAACUCUGCACCA
ensembl:lncRNA